GAUGAACGCUGGCGGCGUGCCUAAUACAUGCAAGUCGAGCGAACAGACGAGGAGCUUGCUCCUCUGACGUUAGCGGCGGACGGGUGAGUAACACGUGGAUAACCUACCUAUAAGACUGGGAUAACUUCGGGAAACCGGAGCUAAUACCGGAUAAUAUAUUGAACCGCAUGGUUCAAUAGUGAAAGACGGUUUUGCUGUCACUUAUAGAUGGAUCCGCGCCGCAUUAGCUAGUUGGUAAGGUAACGGCUUACCAAGGCGACGAUGCGUAGCCGACCUGAGAGGGGGAUCGGCCACACUGGAACUGAGACACGGUCCAGACUCCUACGGGAGGCAGCAGGAGGGAAUCUUCCGCAAUGGGCGAAAGCCUGACGGAGCAACGCCGCGUGAGUGAUGAAGGUCUUCGGAUCGUAAAACUCUGUUAUUAGGGAAGAACAAAUGUGUAAGUAACGAUGCACGUCUUGACGGUACCUAAGCAGAAAGCCACGGCUAACUACGU
rnacentral:rRNA from 1 species